UACGGGGGGGGCAAGCGUUGUUCGGAAUUACUGGGCGUAAAGGGCGCGUAGGCGGUUGGAUAAGUCAGCUGUGAAAACCACGGGCUUAACUCGUGGCCUGCAGUUGAGACUGUCUAGCUUGAGUGUGGGAGAGGAGAGUGGAAUUCCUGGUGUAGCGGUGAAAUGCGUAGAUAUCAGGAGGAACACCGGUGGCGAAGGCGGCUCUCUGGACCACAACUGACGCUGAGGCGCGAAAGCUAGGGGAGCAAACAGG
rnacentral:rRNA from 1 species